CGCGGGGUUUUCAUGUAGGCUUGCACAUAGAUAAAUAACGUUCUCCCCCCUGGUCUAAUUAAUAAUGAGCUCCCGCUUGAGGUCCACGACUACCGACCAAGACAUAGUUGACCACCCGUACAUCUACGCCACCCUCAACACGACCUUCUGGCUGUUGAUGUUCUUCUUCGUGGCCCUGCCCUUUGGCAUAAUGAGCUCGAUACUUGUGGUCAUCAUUCGCCCAUUCACCGUCAUGUUCCCGGAGAGCGAUAUCUACGAGUUGACCGACUUCCUGGAGCUGUGCCAGUUCAUGCCGGAGAUUUGCAUGGCCAGCCUGCUCGCCAAAGCUGAUUUCGUCAGGGCUCUCGACAGCAGACGUGUCAUACACUUUGGUACACCUGUCUAGCCACAUUCAAUAGGUAACAAAAGCGAAGGGGGGGGGGGGUGCACCGGACGUAUGCAGAUAAUUAUAAAGCAUCCAUUUCGAACACCAAACAAAUCACAGCACACGGAAAAGUUUACACAGCACCAGAAUGUGCUGUAGAGGAAAAGCCAAUGACGUCAUCGAACAUUAACAUCAACCCCGCGAACAUGGUCUUUUUGUUUCCGCAUGCACUGUGUUCUUAUUUGGCUUCUCAUGAAGUCGAGACACCAUCAUGCGAUAUACUCCUGAAUGCAGUUGAUACACCCGUAGAAACAAACAAAGGACAUUUACAGUAACUCACACUGACUUUCCCUUCCAACAUUAUGAUGAGCAUCCAGCAGUUAUGACUAAGAACAUCCCCAAAACGGUGACCCGCAGCAUGAAUAAAACCCGUGAGCUCAAAGUGUGGAGAAUGAGAUACCUCUACAGCCUCUACUGGCUCCUGGUGCUGCUCUUUGUAGCCUGGCCCGUGGGCUACGUCUGCGCCAGUCUGUUUGUCCUCAUCUCGCCACUGCACGCUGUGGUCAGCGAACUUGGCAGCCUGGUCAACAUGCUGAAGGAAGGGAUGGGCCUGCCCUACAGGGUCGCCUUGAAUGCGGUCAACGGAACUCGGGUCACAGCACUGCAGUCGGUGGAUUAAGAUUUCUUUCAAGGGGACUUUGUGAUUAGACAACGAUCUAUCGAAUGUUCGAGAACCAAUUCCACCCAACCUAUUGGGUGAACAGAGCUCUGGUAUCAGCGUGUCCCAGCUGGAUUGAACUGAGAACAUCUUUCAAAUCUCUUGGAGAUAUAGCAGUGCGUCCGUCCAAUCGAAUCAGUGAUACGGAUCACGUUAUUUGCCAAAAGAUUGAAUAUUAAAGUUUGCUGUAACAUCAAAACAUAACCUCGCUAUAAACAUUAUUGAAAAGCUUGGUCAGCGGUUUUU